UGCGUCACACCGCGUGCACGUAUAAGCUCAUUGGAGUGUAAACUGCUGUGGUAAGGGAGAAAAGUCUUCGAAUUGAAGAUUUGAUAGUACCUUACUAGAAAGAGGCCGCUAACUGCGUGCCAGAAGCGUCGGUAACACGUGGGCCUCAAACGUUAUCCGGUUUUAUUGGGCUUAAAGGGUCGCGUAGGCGUCUUGGUAAGUUCUGAUUUAAAGACUAUAGCUCAACUAUAGGUAAGAUUGGAAUACUACCAAGAUAGAGUUAUCUUAAGGGAUAACUGGAACUCAGGGAGGAGUAGUGAAAUGCGUUGAUACCCGGAGGAACACCAGUGGCGAAGGCGAGUUUCUAGAAGGUAACUGACGCUGAGGCACGAAAGCUAGGGGAGCGAAGCAGAUUAGAGACCUGCGUAGUCCUAGCUGUAAACUAAUGCCUGCUAGCUGCAUUUAUCUUUCCUUUUGGAAAUUAGGUGUGGCGAAGGGAAACCAUUAAGCAGGCCGCCUGGGGAUUACGACCGCAAGGUUAAAACUUCAAAGGAAUUGGCGGGGAGGCACACAACCAGUGGAACAUGUGGUUUAAUUCGAAACCGAACCGAAGAACCUCACCAGGAUUUUGACAUCCCGACGUCCUUAUUCCGCAGAAAUGCGGAAAAUUCGCAAGAAAGGUCGGGACAGGUGCUGCAUGGCCGUCGUCAGCUCGUUCCGUGAGGAGUACCCUUAAGUGGGACAACGAGCGCAACCCCCAUUUCGAGUUAUAUUUGUCUCGAGAAACUGCUCUCCGAUUCGGAGGGAGGAAGGAGGGGUAGACGUCAGGUCAGCAUGGUCCUUAUGUCCUGGGCUACACACAUGGUACAAUGGGCAGUUACAAAGGGUUAUCGCCACUUCGUAAGAAGGAGCUAAUCCCAAAAACUGCUCUUAGUUGGGAUUGAGGUCUGCAACUCGACCUCAUGAACGCGGAAUUGGUAGUAAUCGUGGAUCAGCCAUGCCGCGGUGAAUACGUUCUUGCCUCUUGCACACACCGCCCGUUCACGGCCAACCAAGAGUACGGAACUUAUCCGCAAUCUUGUCCUUAUUAAUUCGUAAAGAGCAAAAGAGGAUAA
rnacentral:rRNA from 1 species